CCUCAGGAGAGUUAUAUCAAACUGAAGUAGCUUUUAGCAAAACAGGACUCUAUGAAUAAGGAA
rnacentral:ncRNA from 1 species